ensembl:miRNA
GAGGUGGGAGGAUUGCUUGAGUAUGGGAGGUUGAGGCUGCAGUGAGCCGAGAUCACACCACUGCACUCCAGCCUGAGUGACAGACCGAGACCCUGUCUC